GGACGAUUAGCUCAGCGGGAGAGCGCUUCCCUGACACGGAAGAGGUCACUGGUUCGAUCCCAGUAUCGUCCACCA
rnacentral:tRNA from 1 species